rnacentral:lncRNA from 1 species
AUAAAAUUUCAACUUAUAAUUCAGUCAAAAGGUGCCUGACUUAUACAAGCAAUCUAUAGGAAUGUGACAUUAAAUCUUUGCUUCUGCUACCUAAGAUGCAAAAUUUGUGAGGUGCAAUAUUUUUCUUCUCUUUAACUUCAUCCACACCUGAAAUCUCCUGGGAUCUCAACAUCUCUGAAACUGAAAAAAGGGCAGUCUGAAAACCUACUCCCCUUUUUAAAAACCCAAGUACAUAAACGGCUCACAAAAGAGAUCAUACUGCUGCAAAAGAGUUUACAUCUGAUGAAGAAACACUGAAAAACUGACUUCCACUUCCCACAAGGCACAAGGUGCCUGAGGCUUGACACCUCUGGCUUUUAUCAUGAUUUUGAACUCAAAGCAAACUUUGUUUUUAUGAACUGAAAAAAAACAAAUUUUGUUUUUCCUACAUAACAACUGAACCAUAUAAAAACCACAGUGCCCUCUCUCAUCUGUAUCUAAUUUACAAAAACAUUUAAAUUCCAAGAGUAAGUACUAU